UGGGGAAUAUUGCACAAUGGGCGAAAGCCUGAUCCAGCAAUGCCGCGUGUGUGAAGAAGGCCUUCGGGUUGUAAAGCACUUUUGUCCGGAAAGAAAUCCUUGGCUCUAAUACAGUCGGGGGAUGACGGUACCGGAAGAAUAAGCACCGGCUAACUACGUGCCAGCAGCCGCGGUAAUACGUAGGGUGCAAGCGUUAAUCGGAAUUACUGGGCGUAAAGCGUGCGCAGGCGGUUUGCUAAGACCGAUGUGAAAUCCCCGGGCUCAACCUGGGAACUGCAUUGGUGACUGGCAGGCUAGAGUAUGGCAGAGGGGGGUAGAAUUCCACGUGUAGCAGUGAAAUGCGUAGAGAUGUGGAGGAAUACCGAUGGCGAAGGCAGCCCCCUGGGCCAAUACUGACGCUCAUGCACGAAAGCGUGGGGAGCAAACAGGAUUAGAUACCCUGGUAGUCCACGCCCUAAACGAUGUCAACUAGUUGUUGGGGAUUCAUUUCCUUAGUAACGUAGCUAACGCGUGAAGUUGACCGCCUGGGGAGUACGGUCGCAAGAUUAAAACUUAAAGGAAUUGACGGGGUCAUAGCUGUUUCCU
rnacentral:rRNA from 1 species